rnacentral:rRNA from 1 species
CCUGGCUCAGAACGAGCGCUGGCGGCGUGCUUAACACAUGCAAGUCGAACGCGAAAGGGACUUCGGUCCUGAGUAAAGUGGCGCACGGGUGAGUAACGCGUAGAUAACCUGUCUUAUGUCUGGAAUAAUACGCCGAAAGGGGUACUAAUACCGGAUAUUUUUGCAUUGCAUAAGCAGUGUAAGCAAAGGUGGCCUCUGACAUAAGCUACUGCAUAAAGAGGGGUCUGCGUACCAUUAGCUAGUAGGUGGGGUAAAGGCCUACCUAGGCUACGAUGGUUAGCGGGUCUGAGAGGAUGAUCCGCCACACUGGCACUGGAACACGGGCCAGACUCCUACGGGAGGCAGCAGUGAGGAAUAUUGCGCAAUGGGGGCAACCCUGACGCAGCGACGCCGCGUGAGUGAGGAAGGCCUUCGGGUCGUAAAGCUCUGUCAAAGGGAAAGAAGUGCAUGGUGGUUAAUACCUGCCAUGUUUGACGGUACCCUUAAAGGAAGCACCGGCUAACUCCGUGCCAGCCGCAGC